CCCUACGGGAGGCAGCAGUCGGGAAUAUUGCGCAAUGGAGGAGACUCUGACGCAGUGACGCCGCGUAUAGGAAGAAGGUUUUCGGAUUGUAAACUAUUGUCGUUAGGGAAGAUAAAAGACUGUACCUAAGGAGGAAGCCCCGGCUAACUAUGUGCCAGCAGCCGCGGUCAUACAUAGGGGGCAAGCGUUAUCCGGAAUUAUUGGGUGUAAAGGGUGCGUAGACGGAGAAACAAGUUGGUUGUGAAAUCCCUCGGCUCAACUGACGAACUGCAACCAAAACUAUUUCCCUUGAGUGUCGGCGAGGA
rnacentral:rRNA from 1 species